AUUGAACGCUGGCGGCAGGCCUAACACAUGCAAGUCGAACGGUAACAGGAAGAAGCUUGCUUCUUUGCUGACGAGUGGCGGACGGGUGAGUAAUGUCUGGGAAACUGUCUGAUGGAGGGGGAUAACUACUGGAAACGGUAGCUAAUACCGCAUAACGUCGCAAGACCAAAGAGGGGGACCUUCUGGCCUCUUGCCAUCGGAUGUGCCCAGAUGGGAUUAGCUAGUAUGUGGGGUAACGGCUCACCUAGGCGACGAUCCCUAGCUGGUCUGAGAGGAUGACCAGCCACACUGGAACUGAGACACGGUCCAGACCCCUACGGGAGGCAGCAGUGGGGAAUAUUGCACAAUGGGCGCAAGCCUGAUGCAGCCAUGCCGCGUGUAUGAAGAAGGCCUUCGGGUUGUAAAGUACUUUCAGCGGGGAGGAAGGGAGUAAAGUUAAUACCUUUGCUCAUUGACGUUACCCGAAGAAGAAGCACCGGCUAACUCCGUG
rnacentral:rRNA from 1 species